rnacentral:lncRNA from 1 species
ACCCAUGGAGCCUAAGAAUCCAUUUUUAAUUUUAAAUCCAUGAUUUUUACAUGUUAAUAUAGGUUAUCUUCAAGAAGUUAUUAUGAACUUUGAUUUCAAAUGAUGUUUACCAUGCGUUUUCAUUGGAAUUUGCCCGUGACACAUUUGAAUGGUGAUUUUUGCAUGUUACAUCCUUAAACCAUGAUUUAGUUUUACAGUUACAUUAGUAGCACAUGUUUUAACUAUUCCCAU